CCUACGGGAGGCAGCAGUGAGGAAUAUUGGUCAAUGGACGAGAGUCUGAACCAGCCAAGUAGCGUGAAGGAUGACUGCCCUAUGGGUUGUAAACUUCUUUUAUAUGGGAAUAAAACGUUCCACGAGUGGGAUUUUGUAUGUACCAUAUGAAUAAGGAUCGGCUAACUCCGUGCCAGCAGCCGCGGUAAUACGGAGGAUCCGAGCGUUAUCCGGAUUUAUUGGGUUUAAAGGGAGCGUAGGUGGGUUGUUAAGUCAGUUGUGAAAGUUUGGGGCUCAACCGUAAAAUUGCAGUUGAAACUGGCAGUCGUGAGUACAGUAGAUGUGUGCGGAAUGCGCGGUGUAGCGGUGAAAUGCUUAGAUAUCGCGAAGAACUCCGAUUGCGAAGGCAGUACACUGGACUGCAACUGACACUGAGGCUCGAAAGUGUGGGUAUCAAACAGGAUUAGAUACCCUGGUAGUC
rnacentral:rRNA from 1 species